UAAAGCACACCACAAACACAAGGAUUUAUAGUGGUUCGGUGCUAACCUUGCACCUACAUCUACUCCCCAAGAUCCUACUUGGGAAUUUCAAUCCACUAUCCUUUGUAUUCAACCCGAAUACAAAACGUCGAAAACUCCGACACUAGCUAUCCCAAGCUAGAUCACUUAUUUUCCGGGUACAAGUAAACCCAAAAUACUCCGAUUUCAGGUUCGGAUCAACCUUUCCUUGUUUUGGAAAUCCUCCAAAAACAAGAACAAAAACUCACAAAGAG
rnacentral:lncRNA from 1 species